UUGAGCGGGAAUGGAGGGAGAUCUGCAGGAUGCGACCUUCCCUUUGGAGAUGACAUAGACGGUGCAGUAGUCUGGCGCCAUUUUGUUGACGCUGCCUGGAAUAUCAACAGUCUUGAAUCUUCUGUGUCGAGAGUUUCGUAAUUCUGUUACCUAACGAAGCCAUUCUUGGGUGAGGAACCUAUGACCAGCGUCUCGAUGGAGUUGUUCUUGACGUACUCACACACGGCCUUUGCUACGUCUGAAUCUUCUAGAAUCACUUCAUGCACUUGAAUCUGAGAGGCCAGAGAAAAUGAGAGAAAUUUGAGUUGAUAAUUUGGAGAAGAAGGUGGGAGGUUCUUACAUCUUUGCGGGUGCAGAAGCAGCGGAAGGGGAGGAAGAGUUCUUUGGCGUUGUCGUUGUCAGGGAAACCCAUUCGAGCUCCCACUGAAUCAUCAUAAAGGAUCUCGUGUAAACAAUAGGAUUAUCAGAAUUCAGAGAGAGAGAGAGAGAGAGAGAGAGAGAGAGUACGUGGAAAAGAGUUCUUGAGUUUGACAUGAAGAAGGGUAACACUUUUGCCUCUGCCCAAGAGAUGAUCGACAGCCCAUUUCAAUGCAGCUUGGCUCCCUUUGUCCUUGUCUAUGGCUACUGCAAUCGUCUCUUGCUUCUUCUCUCCAUUCCCUCUUUGGCUUGUCAUUUUUCAAUUAUUUUUUAUUUGAAUGGAUUAGCCAAAGCAGAGAGUGGAUAUAUCACAAAAGGCAAAAAUGUUUAGUCCCUCAAGAUCUCUCUCCUGGGAAAAGUUUUGAAUUGGUUUGAGACAAUGAAUCCUGUUUCAGAUUCAUUGACUCAAAUGAAAUCCAUAUUGGUUGGAAUUAUUUUUUUCAUUAAUUAGUUGUUGUUUCCCCUAAUAACAUGGGUUUGAGGUGCACCAUCCGUUGACAUCAAGAUGUUGAGUGGUGAUAUCCAUCCGAAUUCUGAGGGUUCAUUCUAUUCUAGUCGCCCCAAACGGAUUAUCUUCUCUCGUCUUUUAAUAAUUCCAUCCUACACAUA